ACCCCAGCCAGGUCCUUAGCACCAUAGGGAGAAAGUCUCUUCCCAGAGGAGCUUCCAGAGUCCUGGUGUCUACGUCACUGUUCUAUUGCUGUGAGGACACCAUGGUCAAGAUAAAAGAUGAAUUAUCCUUUUGGUUUUACAAGAAGGUUGAGAAGAUGAAAGCGAUGCUCCACUUAAGCACUUUUGUAGACUGGGCUUCACAAGAAUCCUGGCGUGUUAUAUACUCCUGAGACUGAUGCGAUCAACAUACCAGGUAGGAAUAAUAGUACCAGCCUUAUAGGUGGAGCACAAGAAGGACCUGGCAUAAAACAGGCGCUCAAUAAAGAAUACGUUCACCGCUA